AACUUAGUGAGAGUAAACCAUUUUGUUCAUGGUUUCUUCACUUUGUUAUCCCAUUAUAGUAUUUGAAGGUCAAAAUUCUUGUCUUCUAACCAGACAGAGAGUGGAAUGCGGUUUUGCAGUUUACAGAAACAUCUUGCUUGCACCUUAUCCUGCCAAUUACAUACCCUUUCUUCUGGAUGAAAUAACUAAAAAAGGAGGCAAAAAGCCAAGCGGCAUGAUAUAUGCUGACAAAGCUGAGAAGAUGACAAUCUCAUGGAAGAAAAUUGGAGACAGCAGUGCUUUCCUGCAAGAAUUUCAGUUCUUUUCUGAAGCUAAGUGCCUGCUCCUUUUGAUGUAGGAAGACAUUUUAUCUGCUUGUUGAUUCUUCAGAGUGUUCCUUUACAGGCUUCAUGCUAUUGACUAUUAGAAUUCAUGCAGACAAACACAGUGGGAGUCAUGCAGAGUGCUGAGGCAGCCUCUCAAGCGGUAAGAAAAUCUGCUCAGAAGUUGUUUUAAAGAGGGAAUUUCAGGAAUGGCAUACUAUAGAGAUGUAACAAAGUAACUUAGAUCCUGAGGGUACUACGUUUGACUCUUUAGCAGACCUGUGAAAGACAAGGUAGGAGCAGUAGUGUCCUUACUGUUGAGUGAUUAAUGAAAAUGACUUCAGGGACUGGAAAGACCGUGACACUAGAGAAGACAGUGAAAAGAAUGACUUAUAAGUCCCGUUAUGUAAAAUUACUUGGUAAGGAAAGACAACCAAAUGCUGAGGCAGUGUAACCUCUUGACAGAGAAUUCGAAAACAAUUGGGUUGGACUGCCAACAAGCAGGCCCUGGGGACAGAUAGCUUAAGAAAAGUAAAAGUGGAAAUCCCUGCUGCAUGAGGAAGUACAUGAAUUAGAGUAUGUUAAGUCACACCCAGAUCUCUUGAGUCCAUUUCCAGCAUAAAUUAAGAACAUGGCAAUUUGAAUCUGUAGGAGUAAAUGCAGUUAAGAGUCUGUGCUAAUAGCAGAGUUUUGCAAUUAUACUGUGUUUUUGUUUUGUUUUGUUUUUUCAUUUUGUGAUAUCCUCACCAUGUUGGGAGAUGGGGGAGCUAUCCAGCUUCAGUAUUCAAACAGCUCCCUGUUAGGUCAGAUCCUCACCAUGUCAGUACUUUUGUUUUGAUGUCUUCCUGGUGGGCUAUUGCAAAGAGGCAAAAAGGAAAGGAACAGAUUGUUUUCUUGUGUGUGUGUGUGUGUGUGUGGUUGUUUUUUUUUUUUUUUUUUUUUUUUCUCCUUAAGAAAACUUGUAAAGAUUGAAAAAAGAGCCCUGUCUUGUCUAGCCAAGGAAUAAUAAAUAAAAGCAGGUGUAAGGGGUUGGAAUUGAA
rnacentral:lncRNA from 1 species